CUUUGACCACUCUAGAGAUAGAGCUUCCCCUUCGGGGGCAAAGUGACAGGUGGUGCAUGGUUGUCGUCAGCUCGUGUGCGUGAGAUGUUGGGUUAAGUCCCGCAACGAGCGCAACCCUUAUUGUUAGUUGCCAUCAUUCAGUUGGGCACUCUAGCAAGACUGCCGGUGACAAACCGGAGGAAGGUGGGGAUGACGUCAAAUCAUCAUGCCCCUUAUGACCUGGGCUACACACGUGCUACAAUGGGAAGUACAACGAGUUGCGAAGUCGCGAGGCUAAGCUAAUCUCUUAAAGCUUCUCUCAGUUCGGAUUGCAGGCUGCAACUCGCCUGCAUGAAGCCGGAAUCGCUAGUAAUCGCGGAUCAGCACGCCGCGGUGAAUACGUUCCCGGGUCUUGUACACAC
rnacentral:rRNA from 1 species